UACAGAGGUCUCAAGCGUUGUUCGGAUUCAUUGGGCGUAAAGGGUGCGUAGGCGGCGCGGUAAGUCGGGUGUGAAAUCUCGGGGCUUAACUCCGAAACUGCAUUCGAUACUGCCGUGCUUGAGGACUGGAGAGGAGACUGGAAUUUACGGUGUAGCGGUGAAAUGCGUAGAUAUCGUAAGGAAGACCAGUGGCGAAGGCGAGUCUCUGGACAGUUCCUGACGCUGAGGCACGAAGGUCAGGGGAGCAAACGGG
rnacentral:rRNA from 1 species